GUUCAAACGAGGAAGGGCUUACGGUGGAUACCUAGGCACCCAGAGACGAGGAAGGGCAUGGUAAGCGAUGAAAUGCUUCGGGGAGUUGAAAAUGAGCAUAGAUCCAGAGAUUCUCAAAUAGGUUAACCUUUUUAACUGCUGUUGAAUCCAUGGGCAGGCAAGAGACAACCUGGUGAACUAAAACAUCUUAGUAUCCAGAGGAAUAGAAAGCAAAAGCGAUUCCCGUAGUAGCGACGAGCGAAAUGGGAGCAGACUAAACCGUGAAAACGGGGUUGUGGGAGAGCAUAAUAUAAGCUCUGUGCUGCUAGGCAAAGCAGUUGAGUCAUGUACCCUAGAUGGUGAGAGUCCAGUAGCCAAAAGAAUCAUUGGGUUACGCUCUAAUACAAGUAGCAUGGGGCACGUGGAAUCCCGUGUGAAUCAGCAAGGACCACCUUGCAUGGCUAAAUACUCCUGGGUGACCGAUAGAGAAGUAGUACUGUGAGGGAAAUGUGAAAAGAACCCCCAUCAGGGAGUGAAAUAUAACAUGAAA
rnacentral:ncRNA from 1 species